rnacentral:rRNA from 1 species
UACGGAGGGUGCAAGCGUUAAUCGGAAUUACUGGGCGUAAAGCGUGCGUAGGCGGUUCGUUAAGUCUGUUGUGAAAGCCCCGGGCUCAACCUGGGAAUGGCAAUGGAUACUGGCGAGCUAGAGUGUGUCAGAGGAUGGUGGAAUUCCCGGUGUAGCGGUGAAAUGCGUAGAGAUCGGGAGGAACAUCAGUGGCGAAGGCAAUCCCCUGGACCUGUACUGACGCUCAUGCAC